GACGAACCGUACGAACGUUAUUCGGAAUCACUGGGCUUAGAGGGUGCGUAGGCGGCGCGACAAGUUGGGUGUGAAAUCCCUCGGCUCAACCGAGGAACUGCGCCCAAAACUGUCGUGCUCGAGGGAGACAGAGGUGAGCGGAACUUAGGGUGGAGCGGUGAAAUGCGUUGAUAUCCUAAGGAACACCGGUGGCGAAAGCGGCUCACUGGGUCUCUUCUGACGCUGAGGCACGAAAGCUAGGGUAGCGAACGGG
rnacentral:rRNA from 1 species